rnacentral:rRNA from 1 species
UACAGAGGUCUCAAGCGUUGUUCGGAUUCAUUGGGCGUAAAGGGUGCGUAGGCGGCGCGCUAAGUCGGGGUGUGAAAUUUCGGAGCUUAACUCCGAAACUGCAUUCGAUACUGGCGUGCUUGAGGACUGGAGAGGAGACUGGAAUUCAUGGUGUAGCAGUGAAAUGCGUAGAGAUCAUGAGGAAGACCAGUGGCGAAGGCGGGUCUCUGGACAGUUCCUGACACUGAGACACGAAGGCCAGGGGAGCAAACGGG